rnacentral:tRNA from 2 species
CGGAGUGUAGCGCAGCCUGGUAGCGCACAUCGUUCGGGACGAUGGGGUCACAGGUUCAAAUCCUGCCACUCCGACCA